UCGGACUGGAGUCUGCAACCCGACUCCACGAAGCUGGAUUCGCUAGUAAUCGCGCAUCAGCCACGGCGCGGUGAAUACGUUCCCGGGCCUUGUACACACCGCCCGUCAAGCCAUGGGAGCCGGGGGUACCUGAAGUGCGUAACCGCGAGGAUCGCCCUAGGGUAAAACUGGUGACUGGGGCUAAGUCGUAACAAGGUACC
rnacentral:rRNA from 1 species